AUUGAACGCUGGCGGCAGGCCUAACACAUGCAAGUCGAACGGUAACAGGAAGAAGCUUGCUUCUUUGCUGACGAGUGGCGGACGGGUGAGUAAUGUCUGGGAAACUGCCUGAUGGAGGGGGAUAACUACUGGAAACGGUAGCUAAUACCGCAUAACGUCGCAAGACCAAAAAGGGGGGCCUUCGGGCCUCUUGCCAUCGGAUGUGCCCAGAUGGGAUUAGCUAGUAGGUGGGGUAACGGCUCACCUAGGCGACGAUCCCUAGCUGGUCUGAGAGGAUGACCAGCCACACUGGAACUGAGUCACGGUCCAGACUCCUACGGGAGGCAGCAGUGGGGAAUAUUGCACAAUGGGCGCAAGCCUGAUGCAGCCAUGCCGCGUGUAUGAAGAAGGCCUUCGGGUUGUAAAGUACUUUCAGCGGGGAGGAAGGGAGUAAAGUUAAUACCUUUGCUCAUUGACGUUACCCGCAGAAGAAGCACCGGCUAACUCCGUG
rnacentral:rRNA from 1 species